AUCUACAGCAAAACCACCUUAAUCAAGAAAGAUAAACAUGGUCCGGCCUUGCCAGUAUGUGGAUGGGAGACCGCCUAAAAAUACUGGGUGUUGUAGUCU
ensembl:rRNA 5S_rRNA 5S ribosomal RNA